rnacentral:lncRNA from 1 species
CGCCCGGGUGUGGGUGGCACCAACCAGGCUUAUAGGCUGGAUGGGAUAAAAGUCCAGAAGGCUGGCUGCUUCCUCCUCCUGCCUGCCCUGCCAUGGACUGUUUCUCCUCUGCCAGGCUCCUCUGCCCCGCCACCCUGCCUUGGACACAGCUGACUACGGGCUGAAACCUCUAUGAACUGUGAACUACAGCAAAUCUCUUCUUUUUUGACUUGCGGGUAUCGGGGUAUUUUGUCCAGCAAUGAGAUGCUCUGGAAACAGAAGUUGGAGAUCAAGGUGUGGUCAGCCUGGCUCUUCCUAAGGGCCCUGUGGCAGGCAGCCUGGGUUCCUUGGCUUAUACCGGAUCAGAGGUCUACCUACUCCAGUGGGACUUCAUUUCAACUGAUGCUGGCAGGUGAUCCUACUUGUAAUCGAGAUCACAACUUGAAGUACCAGAAGCCAUGGUUUCAACCUAUGGCUCUGCAGCCAGCGCAGGUACACACAACAGUCACUAACCUUUGCUUGAAUUUUGCGUAAAAUCAU